CGAGUCAUGGCUCAGAUUGAACGCUGGCGGCAGGCCUAACACAUGCAAGUCGAGCGGAUGAAGAGAGCUUGCUCUCUGAUUCAGCGGCGGACGGGUGAGUAAUGCCUAGGAAUCUGCCUGAUAGUGGGGGACAACGUUUCGAAAGGAACGCUAAUACCGCAUACGUCCUACGGGAGAAAGCAGGGGACCUUCGGGCCUUGCGCUAUCAGAUGAGCCUAGGUCGGAUUAG
rnacentral:rRNA from 1 species